rnacentral:rRNA from 1 species
UACAUGUGGGGCAAGCGUUGUUCGGAAUUACUGGGCAUAAAGGGUGCGUAGGCGGCUUGAUAAGUCAGUGGUGAAAUCGUCCGGCCCAACCGGACACGUGCCAAUGAUACUGUCGAGCUAGAGUGCGUGAGGGGUGGGGGGAACGAGCAGUGUAGCGGUGAAAUGCGUAGAUAUUGCUCGGAAGGCCAAAGCCGAAGGGACCCCACUGGUACGCAACUGACGCUGAGGCACGAAAGCGUGGGGAGCAAACAGG